rnacentral:rRNA from 1 species
UGGGAGGAAAGCAGGGGAUCGUAAGACCUUGCGCUUUUGGAGCGGCCGAUGUCUGAUUAGCUAGUUGGUGGGGUAAUGGCCUACCAAAGCUUCGAUCAGUAGCUGGUCUGAGAGGACGGCCAGCCACACUGGGACUGAGACACGGCCCAGACUCCUACGGGAGGCAGCAGUGGGGAAUUUUGGACAAUGGGCGCAAGCCUGAUCCAGCCAUGCCGCGUGAGUGAAGAAGGCCUUCGGGUUGUAAAGCUCUUUCAGCCGGGAAGAAAAGGCUGCGAUUAAUAAUCGCAGUUCAUGACGGUACCGGAAGAAGAAGCACCGGCUAACUACGUGCCAGCAGCCGCGGUAAUACGUAGGGUGCGAGCGUUAAUCGGAAUUACUGGGCGUAAAGGGUGCGCAGGCGGUUUUGUAAGUCAGAUGUGA